rnacentral:rRNA from 1 species
AACGAACGCUGGCGGCAGGCUUAACACAUGCAAGUCGAACGCCACGCAAGGGGAGUGGCAGACGGGUGAGUAACGCGUGGGAAUCUACCCAGAUCUUCGGAACAACCCAGGGAAACUUGGGCUAAUACCGGAUACGCCUUACGGGGGAAGGAUUUAUCGGUUCUGGAUGAGCCCGCAGUGGAUUAGCUAGUUGGUGGGGUAAUGGCCUACCAAGGCGACGAUCCAUAGCUGGUCUGAGAGGAUGAGCAGCCACACGGGGACUGAGACACGGCCCAGACUCCUACGGGAGGCAGCAGUGGGGAAUAUUGGACAAUGGGCGAAGGCCUGAUCCAGCCAUGCCGCGUGAGUGAUGAAGGCCUUAGGGUUGUAAAGCUCGUUCAGUAGGGAAGAUAAUGACGGUACCUACAGAAGAAGCCCCGGCUAACUUCGUGCCAGCCGCCGCCGUAAAAC